UCCAAUCAAAAUCAACCUUUAACAUCCAAUCGACAACAAGGUUUAGCAUCCAAUCAAAAACAGUGGGAUUCAAAAUUACCCAGAUCAGGACCACCACACAGGCAGCAGGCACGUGGGUCUGGGGGCACUUGUCACGUGGGGUCCAAGCGACACCAGGGGUCCCCCCAGGGGCUCUCUGCCAGGGGCCUGGCACCCGGCAGCGCACCCUCCAACUGGUCACACACAGCACUGGCCCGCGCAGAUGCGGAGUGACAGAGAGGCGACAAGGGAUGCCACCGGGCACCCGACAUUUUCCAUAUCAGGCUGAGGAGAUUCUCCUCAAGAAUGAUUGCAGAGGCCACGUCAAAGACCAGGAACCCAUCCUACCUGUGAGCCUCUUCUGAUAUUAAAGAUAUACUCUCAAUCUAAUAUCAUUCUCUUCCAUUUUUUUUU